UGGAGGUGAUGUGGCAAUGUGUGUACGCAA
rnacentral:piRNA from 1 species